UGAGCGUGUUUGGGUUUGGAUUGCAUGC
rnacentral:piRNA from 1 species